rnacentral:ncRNA from 1 species
AAGUAUUUUAGGUUCUUGAAAAAGAUUAAUAGGGAAAGAGGUUAAAUUCCUCUGCAGCCCCCGCUACUGUAAUGUGGACGAAACUUUUUAACCACUGUGAAUUUUCAUGGGAAGGGAAGGAGUAGGAUGAAGCUAAGCCAGGAGACCUGCCUAUAAUAAA